UCUGUACCGUAUGAGUGACAAAUAAUGGCUUCUCCUUCUUCAAUCCAAAUAAGCCGUGUCCAGUCUCAUCUGGAAAGAAGUGGUGUGGGUGCAGGGUUUCAUUCCAACAACAUGGAAUCAACAUGAUCUAUUAAAUAUUAACUGAUAGACCUAACCAGGUAGAACGAGGAGUGACGAAUGCCUGACUGGACUGAAAACCUGCACCCUCACCUCCCCUUUGCAGUCCUUUAGGGAGCUUUGGAGGUGGCCGGAGAUCUGUCUCCCCUUCCAGGCUGUGUUCAUGAGAAAGCGAGUCCCCCAAAGGCAGUGAUAUUUAGCGUUCCUGAUUCAGCAUGGCCCAGGAGCCGACCAUGAUGGAUGAUGGAAGGGACUGAAAAUCCCCAGCUCUGAGACUCAAAAGCUCCACUCAACCAUUCUGUCCUGAGGGAAGUUAAUUCAUUUAAGGCUCUUCAGUGAAGCACACCAGCAGAAGCACUGCUAUCGUGGACUUAGACGUAAGGGAGAAAGAACAGUGUGUGUGGCUGGAGCUAACAGAAGCAUCCUUCUCCUGUACCAUCUGCUCAGAAGCAAGGUGCAUGAAUCCUUUGCUCCAGCUCCAUUAGUCAGCUCGGUGAGGGGAAGCACUGUGCCACUGCUCUGGAGAUUACAGCAAGGAGCAGACUAAUGACCAGCUAACUUCAUUAGCAACAUCAGCAACAAAAUAGGCACUUUCUUUUGAACUAGCAAACCCUAUGAGGUCUUCCACAGCUCCACACUUCACUUGCUCUUGGAAAAGAGGCUAAAAUGCUUGGUAGAUUCUUGAUUCUACAUUAAUACACUGAAUGAUCUGGAAGAGAUUGAUUCCUGACAUUACUCAUGCAUGGUUUCUGUGAGCAGCUGCCUGGUUAUGAGAGCACUGUGUAAGCAAAUGUUAUUACACAAGUUUACUAUUGGGAGAUGGGGAUGUUUACUGUGGUCAUAGAAGAAAAGAUGUACAGUAAGAACAUGGAAAAUGGGCCAGCUGCAAAGGGUUGAGGAAACAUAUCGUCAUUACUGCCAUGAGCAUUGUCUAGGAUUAAAAAGGCAGAACAUUUGAUUGAUGAUCUUCAACUUGGCCUGAAGGCACUGGUGGAUGUGUGGGUGACAAGAAUGCCAGUAGUUAAUACUAGCAGUGAGGGUUUGUAAGCCACGCAGUGUAAGUCAGUGUGCCUUCCCCUUUAACUACCACUACCACCACCACCACCACUACCACCUCCAACACCAUCUCUAAAUUCAUUCCAAAGCUUUCUGUCAUGUAAUCAGUGAGCUAGACCAGCUCUCUCUCUCCUAAAUAAAUAAAACACCUCAUGGUCAAGUCAAGCAAGAAGCUUUUAUUGUCAUUUUAACCAUAUAUAGCUGUUGCAGUACACAGUGAAAGGGACAACGUUUCUCCAGGACCUGGUGCUACAUAUGGUUAUCAUAUGUCUCAUAUGGUGAAUGUGCCAUAUGAUAAAUUAAGUACGAAAAAACCUGAUGUGUGGUGAGCUAAGAUCUGAUGCAAAUCAUUCAGUUUAAUUAUCGUUACCAAGCUGAUAUUAUUUUCA